GGGCCCGCACAAGCGGUGGAGUAUGUGGUUUAAUUCGAUGCAACGCGAAGAACCUUACCAGGGUUUGACAUCCUGCGAAUCUUUUGGAAACGAGAGAGUGCCUUCGGAACGCAGUGACAGGUGGUGCAUGGCUGUCGUCAGCUCGUGUCGUGAGAUGUUGGUUAAGUCCGCAACGAGCGCAACCCACGUCGUUAGUUGCCAGCAUUUAGUUGGGCACUCUAGAGAGACCGCCGGUGAUAAACCGGAGGAAGGUGUGGAUGACGUCAAGUCAUCAUGCCCCUUACAUCCUGGGCUACACACGUACUACAAUGCUACGGACAAAGGGCAGCAAACUCGCGAGAGCUAG
rnacentral:rRNA from 1 species